UACAGAGGGUGCAAGCGUUGUUCGGAAUUAUUGGGCGUAAAGCGCGUGUAGGCGGCCUUGCAAGUCGGGUGUGAAAGCCCUCAGCUCAACUGAGGAAGUGCGCCCGAAACUGCAGAGCUUGAGUACCGGAGAGGAUGGUGGAAUUCCCCAAGUAGAGGUGAAAUUCGUAGAUAUGGGGAGGAACACCGGUGGCGAAGGCGACCAUCCGGACGGAUACUGACGCUGAGACGCGAAAGCGUGGGUAGCAAACAGG
rnacentral:rRNA from 1 species